GCAGGGAGAGGACUGGGGCUGGCGGCGUGAACACAGCCUGCAGGGGACUAGUGCGCCACAGCUAGCCGGGAGUGUGUUCGGGAAAAGUCUGGAGCUGCCGAAGAGGCAAGAGACCAUUAUUUGGGGUGCGCGAGGAGAGGGGCUUCCUGCUGCGUGUGCCUGCAGACAGCAGAACACUGCCUAAGCGAGCUCCAGAGAUGGGCGUGAGCCGCAGCAAUCAUCUCAGACCCCAGAGACAGGCACAGACCACUACCGCUGCUGCCGCUGCCACCAAGAAUCCUGUGCGUAAGCACAGGUCACUACCCACACACCCCCAGGAGCCUGUGCAGCCCGCCACUGCAGGGUGCCGCGAUCCAGGGCCAAAUUCCCCGGGAGAACACAUGGCGUGCCUCAGGCUGGUGCAAUGUCACGCCAGCCUCUGCCACUGAAGGCACGCUCCGCAUUCCAGUUAUGACUACAAUACCCCUCACUCUCCCCGACCUGAGUGAGCCAGAGAACCCCAAUCAGCCGCUGCUUUAACCCCCUCCAGUCUGGGUGGGGAACAGACACUGGAGGGCGGCCUACACACAGUGUCGGGGCCAAAACCAAAGCUGAACCCAAGGACUUGUGUGAACAAAGAAGAGAAAGGGAAAUUUCUCCAUGCAGCCUCAGGAGCUGUGGAUUAAAUCCCUGCAAUUGGCUUGAUGAACCCUGCAUCUGUGGAAUACCUGAAUAGACAGAGAGUAAAGCUCCAGAAACAGCAAUAGAGAAUAAAGAAGGUGGGGAAGCUGAGUCUUUGAUUCUGUGACAGGUGGAGUCACCAAGAAGUUGAGGGAAGAGAAGCCGCCUAGUAGAGUGAGGAGCACUGAAGGAAGGCUAGGAGAGUUUCCUCUGAGUUUACCCAGUUGGCUGCCCUUGGUGAAUGGCUCAAGCCUUAAAACUGCACAAUGGGCACAGACAACAAAAAACUCCUGAAGAACUCUGCUUUUGCUGGUCAGAAGAUUGGGA